rnacentral:rRNA from 1 species
AAUGAACGCUGGCGGCGCGCCUAAUACAUGCAAGUCGAGCGAGAAGACGUAGCAAUACGUUUGUAAAGCGGCGAACGGGUGAGGAAUACAUGGGUAACCUACCCUCGAGUGGGGAAUAACUAGCCGAAAGGUUAGCUAAUACCGCGUACGCUCCUUGGACUUCGGUUCAGGGAGGAAAGCGAUACCGUGGGUAUCGCGCUCUUGGAUGGGCUCAUGUCCUAUCAGCUUGUU